rnacentral:rRNA from 1 species
CCCUUAGAUGUUCUGGGCUGCACGCGCGCUACACUGAUGCACUCAACGAGUUUACGACCUUGCCCGAUAGGGUUGGGUAAUCUUUUUAAAAUGCAUCGUGAUGGGGAUAGAUUAUUGCAAUUAUUAAUCUUCAACGAGGAAUUCCUAGUAAGCGCGAGUCAUCAGCUCGUGCUGAUUACGUCCCUGCCCUUUGUACACACCGCCCGUCGCUCCUACCGAUUGAGUGCUCAGGUGAAUAAUUCGGACUGCAGCAAUGUUUGGAUCCCGAACGUUGCAGCGGAAAGUGUAGUGAACCUUAUCACUUAGAGGAAGGAGAAGUCGUAACA